GCGCCCAUAGCUCAGCUGGAUAGAGCACUUGGCUACGAACUAAGGGGUCGGGAGUUCGAAUCUCUCUGGGCGCA
rfam:Acinetobacter sp. ANC 4603 Contig9, whole genome shotgun sequence.